rnacentral:rRNA from 1 species
AGAGUUUGAUCAUGGCUCAGAGCGAACGCUGGCGGCAGGCCUAACACAUGCAAGUCGAACGGACCCUUCGGGGUUAGUGGCGGACGGGUGAGUAACACGUGGGAACGUGCCUUUAGGUUCGGAAUAGCUCCUGGAAACGGGUGGUAAUGCCGAAUGUGCCCUUCGGGGGAAAGAUUUAUCGCCUUUAGAGCGGCCCGCGUCUGAUUAGCUAGUUGGUGAGGUAAUGGCUCACCAAGGCGACGAUCAGUAGCUGGUCUGAGAGGAUGACCAGCCACAUUGGGACUGAGACACGGCCCAAACUCCUACGGGAGGCAGCAGUGGGGAAUCUUGCGCAAUGGGCGAAAGCCUGACGCAGCCAUGCCGCGUGAAUGAUGAAGGUCUUAGGAUUGUAAAAUUCUUUCACCGGGGACGAUAAUGACGGUACCCGGAGAAGAAGCCCCGGCUAACUUCGUGCCAGCAGCCGCGGUAAUACGAAGGGGGCUAGCGUUGCUCGGAAUUACUGGGCGUAAAGGGCGCGUAGGCGGACAUUUAAGUCAGGGGUGAAAUCCCAGAGCUCAACUCUGGAACUGCCUUUGAUACUGGGUGUCUUGAGUGUGAGAGAGGUAUGUGGAACUCCGAGUGUAGAGGUGAAAUUCGUAGAUAUUCGGAAGAACACCAGUGGCGAAGGCGACAUACUGGCUCAUUACUGACGCUGAGGCGCGAAAGCGUGGGGAGCAAACAGGAUUAGAUACCCCGGUAGUCC